rnacentral:misc_RNA from 1 species
UAUAUCAUACACGAUAAUGCAUAUGUAGUAACUGAUGUGAUUAAU